rnacentral:rRNA from 1 species
AUACGGAGGGUGCAAGCGUUACUGGGAAUCACUGGGCGUAAAGCGCGCGCAGGCGGCUAUUUAAGUUGGAUGUGAAAGCCUACGGCUCAACCGUAGAACUGCAUCCAAAACUAUUUAGCUAGAGUGUGGGAGAUGAAGAUGGAAUUAGUUGUGUAGGGGUAAAAUCCGUAGAGAUAACUAGGAAUACCAAAAGCGAAGGCAAUCUGCUGGAACACUACUGACGCUGAGGCGCGAAAGCGUGGGGAGCAAACGGGAUUAGAUACCCCAGUAGUCC